rnacentral:rRNA from 1 species
UUAAUAUUCCUGUACUUCUGGUUAUUGCGAUGGAGGGACGGAGAAGGCUAGGCCAGCUUGGCGUUGGUUGUCCAAGUUUAAGGUGGUAGGCUGAGAUCUUAGGUAAAUCCGGGAUCUUAAGGCCGAGAGCUGAUGACGAGUUACCUUUCAGGUGACGAAGUGGUUGAUGCCAUGCUUCCAAGAAAAGCUUCUAACAUUAAUAAUUAACUGCCUGUACCUAGAACGAACACACGUGGUCAAGGAGAAAAUCCUAAGGCAAGCGAGAUAACUGUAGCUAAGGAACUCUGCAAAAUAACUCCGUAACUUCGGAAGAAGGAGUGCUCAUCUUUGAUGAGCCGCAGUGAAGAGGGAGGGGCAACUGUUUAACAAAAACACAGCUCUCUGCUAAGUCGCAAGACGAUGUAUAGGGGGUGACACCUGCCCAGUGCCGGAAGGUUAAGAGGAGAAGUCAGCGCAAGCGAAGCUUUGAAUUGAAGCCCCGGUGAACGGCGGCCGUAACAAUAACGGUCCUAAGGUAGCGAAAUUCCUUGUCAGGUAAAUUCUGACCCGCACGAAAGGUGUAAUGAUCCCUUCGCUGUCUCGGCUGCAGACUCGGU